rnacentral:rRNA from 1 species
UACGUAGGGUGCGAGCGUUGUCCGGAAUUAUUGGGCGUAAAGAGCUCGUAGGCGGUUUGUCGCGUCGACUGUGAAAACCCGAGGCUUAACCUCGGGCCUGCAGUCGAUACGGGCAGACUAGAGUUCGGUAGGGGAGACUGGAAUUCCUGGUGUAGCGGUGAAAUGCGCAGAUAUCAGGAGGAACACCAGCGGCGAAGGCGGCGCUCUGGGCCGGAACUGACGCUGAGGAGCGAAAGCGUGGGGAGCAAACAGG